AGUGAACGCUGGCGGUAGGCCUAACACAUGCAAGUCGAACGGCAGCACAGUAAGAGCUUGCUCUUACGGGUGGCGAGUGGCGGACGGGUGAGGAAUACAUCGGAAUCUACUUUUUCGUGGGGGAUAACGUAGGGAAACUCACGCUAAUACCGCAUACGACCUACGGGUGAAAGCAGGGGGUCUUCGGACCUUGCGCGAUUGAAUGAGCCGAUGUCGGAUUAGCUAGUUGGCGGGGUAAAGGCCCACCAAGGCGACGAUCCGUAGCUGGUCUGAGAGGAUGAUCAGCCACACUGGAACUGAGACACGGUCCAGACUCCUACGGGAGGCAGCAGUGGGGAAUAUUGGACAAUGGGCGCAAGCCUGAUCCAGCCAUACCGCGUGGGUGAAGAAGGCCUUCGGGUUGUAAAGCCCUUUUGUUGGGAAAGAAAAGCAGCAGGUUAAUACCCCGCUGUUCUGACGGUACCCAAAGAAUAAGCACCGGCUAACUUCGUG
rnacentral:rRNA from 1 species